AAAGGAGAUACUUGUACGGCAAUCUCUAUGAUCAGCUGGUGGACUAGCACGCAUCAAGAAGUUUUUACGCAUGCAUCUCAAUGCAAGUUGAGCGACGUGUUUGCUUGGCAGCGACAAUCUAUACGGCAUUGAUCACCUAAAAUAUUAAUCAUGAUGGACUAAUUAAUCCUACGACUAAUUAAUCCUAGUGGAUGAAAUUGUUUCCAUCAUGC
rnacentral:lncRNA from 1 species